GACAGAGGGGGCAAGCGUUGCUCGGAAUUACUGGGCGUAAAGGGCGCGUAGGCGGGAUGGCAAGUCGGUCGUGAAAUCCCUCGGCUCAACUGAGGAACGUCGAUCGAUACUGCUGUUCUUGAGGAUUGCAGAGGAGACUGGAAUUCCCGGUGUAGCGGUGAAAUGUGUAGAGAUCGGGAGGAACCCCAGAGGCGAAGGCGGCGCUCUGGCUCGCAACUGACGCUCAGACACGACAGCAUGGGGAGCGAACGGG
rnacentral:rRNA from 1 species